UACGGGGGGGGCAAGCGUUGUUCGGAAUUACUGGGCGUAAAGGGCUCGUAGGCGGCCAACUAAGUCGGACGUGAAAUCCCCAGGCUCAACCUGGGAACUGCGUCCGAUACUGGAUGGCUUGAAUCCGGGAGAGGGAUGCAGAAUUCCAGGUGUAGUGGUGAAAUGCGUAGAUAUCUGGAGGAAUACCGGUGGCGAAGGCGGCAUCCUGGACCGGCAUUGACGCUGAGGAGCGAAAGCCAGGGGAGCAAACGGG
rnacentral:rRNA from 1 species